rnacentral:rRNA from 1 species
ACGCUGGCGGCACGCCUAACACAUGCAAGUCGAACGAAGUAGCAAUACUUAGUGGCAGACGGGUGAGUAACAUGUGGGUAUCUGCCCUUUGGCCUGGAAUAACACGAGGAAACUUGUGCUAAUACCGGAUAAGUCUUUACGGAGAAAGCUUUAUGCACCAUUGGAUGAGCCUGCACUUGAUUAGUUUGUUGGUGGGGUAAUGGCCUACCAAGACUGUGAUCAAUAGCUGAUUUGAGAGGAUGAUCAGCCACAUUGGGACUGAGACACGGCCCAAACUCCUACGGGAGGCAGCAGUGGGGAAUCUUGCACAAUGGAGGAAACUCUGAUGCAGCGAUGCCGCGUGAGUGAAGAAGGCCCUUGGGUUGUAAAGCUCUUUCGUCGGGGAAGAAAAUGACUGUACCCGAAUAAGAAGGUCCGGCUAACUUCGUGCCAGCAGCCGCGGUAAUACGAAGGGACCUAGCGUAGUUCGGAAUUACUGGGCUUAAAGAGUUCGUAGGUGGUUGAAAAAGUUAGUGGUGAAAUCCCAGAGCUUAACUCUGGAACUGCCAUUAAAACUUUUCAGCUAGAGUAUGAUAGAGGAAAGCAGAAUUUCUAGUGUAGAGGUGAAAUUCGUAGAUAUUAGAAAGAAUACCAAUUGCGAAGGCAGCUUUCUGGAUCAUUACUGACACUGAGGAACGAAAGCAUGGGUAGCGAAGAGGAUUAGAUACCCUCGUAGUCCAUGCCGUAAACGAUGUGUGUUAGACGUUGGAAAUUUAUUUUCAGUGUCGCAGCGAAAGCGAUAAACACACCGCCUGGGGAGUACGACCGCAAGGUUAAAACUCAAAUGAAUUGACGGGGACCCGCACAAGUAGUGGAGCAUGUGGUUUAAUUCGAAGAUACGCGCAGAACCUUACCAACACUUGACAUGUUCGUCGCGACUCUAAGAGAUUAGAGUUUUCGGUUCGGCCGGACGAAACACAGGUGCUGCAUGGCUGUCGUCAGCUCGUGUCGUGAGAUGUUGGGUUAAGUCCCGCAACGAGCGCAACCCUCACUUUUAGUUGCCAUCAUUAAGUUGGGCACUCUGAAAGAACUGCCAGUGAUAAGCUGGAGGAAGGUGGGGAUGACGUCAAGUCCUCAUGGCCCUUACGUGUUGGGCUACACACGUGCUACAAUGGUAUCUACAACAGGAAGCAAGACUGCGAAGUUAAGCAAAUCCCUAAAAGAUACCUCAGUUCGGAUUGCACUCUGCAACUCGAGUGCAUGAAGCUGGAAUUACUAGUAAUCGUGGAUCAGCGUGCCACGGUGAAUGCGUUCCCGGGUCUUGUACUCACCGCCC